rnacentral:rRNA from 1 species
AGAGUUUGAUCCUGGCUCAGGAUGAACGCUAGCGGCAGGCUUAACACAUGCAAGUCGAGGGGUAACAGGAAUAGCUUGCUAUUUGCUGACGACCGGCGCACGGGUGCGUAACGCGUAUACAAUCUACCUUUUACAGAGGGAUAGCCCAGAGAAAUUUGGAUUAACACCUCAUAGUAUUAUAAGAUGGCAUCAUUUAAUAAUUAAAACUUCGGUGGUAAAAGAUGAGUAUGCGUUCUAUUAGCUAGUAGGUAAGGUAACGGCUUACCUAGGCGACGAUAGAUAGGGGCCCUGAGAGGGGGAUCUCCCACACUGGUACUGAGACACGGACCAGACUCCUNACGGGAGGCAGCAGUGAGGAAUAUUGGACAAUGGAGGUAACUCUGAUCCAGCCAUGCCGCGUGCAGGAAGACGGCCCUAUGGGUUGUAAACUGCUUUUGUAUGCCAAGAAACCUAUCUACGUGUAGAUAGUUGACGGUAGCAUACGAAUAAGACCGCUAACU